UUUGGCAUUCCGGGAUCUUGAUCCAUCUUUUGAGUCGCUCGAUCGAUGAACCACAGGUAUACCAAAUCAGCCUACAGGAUUCUGGUCUACACUUCACAUUUUGAAAGCUCCUCGUAUUUUCCAAAGACGCUAUAUAGCAGGCCUGUGCCCCAUAAGCAGAACAUUUUUUUCCUUGUGGGAUACAAAUUCUAAAAAGUGUUCUACGGUAGCUCCGCAUAUUAAAACCUGAAAUCCUACCUUUACAAGGUUUUACAAACAUUUUAGGGCAAUUUCUUAUACAUUUACUGUAAGGUUCUUUUAUAAAUGGUGUUAAGAUACCAGGGCUUUUAUAUAAAGGUUCUUUUUGUAUGUGGGGAACUACGGAUCUUAACUACUGUAUUUUUUUUUUCGAAAAUAUCGAGUGGGAAUGGUUUUAUUGAAGCAAUAUAGGCAUAUAUCUGAAAAUGUCCAGAAUUUUGAUUAACCAUUUAAACUUAUCAAGAUACUUAAAAUCAUCGUUUUUGAAACUGACCGAAAGUUGACCUCACUCGCACAAGGGGGAUUGUGAGUCCCCCCCCCCCCCCCCCCCUCCCACAAACCGCCUGGUACGAAUUCUGCCGCAUCAUUGAUUCAUUGAUGGAUAUUGUAACUAAAAAUAAUAAUAAUCACGACUACAGAAAUCAUUGGCAAACACUAGUCAUCAUGAACUGAUACUUUUUGGAGGCGUGUCGAAAAUAACAUUAAAGAAUUUGGCACCCAUUAAAGAAAUUACUCUCUAAAUGGUGGAUACAAUCCUUCCGAAUGCUUUAUAAAAUAAAGAAAAAGACGUAUUUGGUGCAUGCGAUGUAACUUUUAAC